rnacentral:rRNA from 2 species
UUGACCUCGGAUCAGGUAGGGAUACCCGCUGAACUUAAGCAUAUCAAUAAGCCGGAAGAA